GAUGAACGCUGGCGGCGUGCCUAAUACAUGCAAGUCGAGCGAACAGAUGAGGAGCUUGCUCCUCUGACGUUAGCGGCGGACGGGUGAGUAACACGUGGAUAACCUACCUAUAAGACUGGGAUAACUUCGGGAAACCGGAGCUAAUACCGGAUAAUAUAUUGAACCGCAUGGUUCAAUAGUGAAAGACGGUUUUGCUGUCACUUAUAGAUGGAUCCGCGCCGCAUUAGCUAGUUGGUAAGGUAACGGCUUACCAAGGCAACGAUGCGUAGCCGACCUGAGAGGCUGAUCGCCCCCACUGGAACUGAGACACGGUCCAGACUCCUACGGGAGCCAGCAGUAGGUAAUCUUCCGCAAUGGGCGAAAGCCUGACGGAUCAACGCCGCGUGAGUGAUGAAGGUCUUCGGAUCGUAAAACUCUGUUAUUAGGGAAGAACAAAUGUGUAAGUAACUAUGCACGUCUUGACGGUACCUAAUCAGAAAGCCACGGCUAACUACGUG
rnacentral:rRNA from 1 species